GAUGUGGAAUUGGACUUGAGUAAUCAGGGAAAACAGUAGUAAAGUAAUUCAAGGAAAACAUCACCAAUUGAAUCAACUUUCAAGUAGCUCAUUAUGCUCUCUUAAUGUUGCACUUCUAAUUUAUUAGUCUGCACUAUGUUUUUUGCACUGUAUUUUACAGAAAAGGAUGAACUCUAGUGAUGAUGGUCAACAAAGUUGUCUUUGAAAAGCUCUUUGUUCUACUGUACAGGCAUGAUGGGGAAGCUACAUUUCACUGGUAAGUAGAACAUUAUAAACCUUACACAUCUUGCAAAUGUUUUAAAUAUUUGUAUGUAACAUAUUUUUGUGUAAAAUAGAUCAGAUGCUCUUUUCCAAGUAGCAGAAAUUUCUAACACCUGAUUUGUAAACAGAUAAAAUGUACUCAAUGCUUUUAAAAAUGAGGAGGAGGACACAAAAUGAACCAGUAAUGAAUGCCAAUGUGACAUAGUGACAUGUUAAGCAUCAGAUGUACAAAACUCUGUUGCUUGCAUUUCCAGUUGACUGUUUUGAUUUUACAACCACAUCCCUUCAUUCCCUUUUCCAUCACUGUUCCUUUCUGUACCCCAUUCAGCAGCUAAACUGGAGGUGUUUUGGAGAGAGCAACCUCAGCACCCUCUGUUCCAAACCUGCUCUUACUGAGGCCAGUGGUACAAAGGAUACCAGUGACUCAAUCUGAAGCUCACUUACCAAAAAAACUAUUGUGAUGACUAAACUGCAGCAAAAGCAGGCAAGAACUAUUUUCAUUUUACGGUGGAAAACAUGAACUCUGUGCUGUCUCCCUGUUGAUUUGCUGAGCAUCCCAGAGUCCCUUGGAAUACAGGCUGUUUAUGACUGCUGCAGUAAAUUCUGAGCUUAAAUUGGUUUGGAAGAAACUCCUGUGUCCUGAACCUGGUUUGGCUGGCACCCUCCAAAGAACACGUAUCAGCUAACUUGUAAGGAGUCACGAAAAAACUAUUGCUAUUAAUUAACACAGCAGCACGUGGCAGACAAUGCGUGUGCCUGUAGUCAACCAUGCUCUUUAUGAUGGAAUAAUAAAUUCGUUCAAAGAUUUGCAAUGGCUUAACAGAUGUACCAGAGAGAUGUGCCUGCAGACUGGAGAAGGCAGUGAGUGCUGAAGAUGCAUUUUCAUGUUGAGAAGACGGGACUGCAUGCAGAUCUCGUGAUCCAGAGCUGCUGGGAACCAGCUUGGCUUUGCACGGAUAGGGUUACCUACAGGAGGAGCGCUUCUAAACACUCUGGGUCAAAGAAUCCCAGAGGUCCGGCUGUCCCUCCAGGCUGUGAGCUCUGUGGGGAGCACAGAUCACCCCGAGGACCACAUGGAGGUGCUGGGAGAAGGCCUGACCCACAGCACGUGUGCUGCGGCAGGGAGGGCUGCUCCGAGGUGACAGAGCUUCCAGCAUCGAACCGGACAGCGAGUGGUGAAUGGCACAGCACGCCCCUGCUAUUCUACUGCCAAUUUGGAGGUCUCACCCGAAAUUCAAGAAGUUUUGAGGAUUCACACAAAGAACGCCAACAUCAGAACGGCGCUUGUGUGCAACGAGCAGAACCCGCGAAGCCAAAAAUUCACAGCAAACUGACCAAAUCCCUCUCUUUAUAAGUUGAUAAAGUUGUUUUAUGGAAAACGCCGUACGGAGGCCAAACCAGGGGCCACCCCUCCACGUCUCGCAAAGUUUUCCGGCGGUCGCCCUCCCCUGCCCACCCACCG